rnacentral:lncRNA from 1 species
AUUGCCAAUUCUCUACGAUUAUCAUUUCAUAUUUUUGAUUAUGAUCGUUGUAAUGAGAGAUUUUAUAAUGGUUGGUAGAAGAUAUUGUUGGGAAUAAAUCCUCACGAUAAUAAUAUUUACAAUAGUAAAAGCGGAAAAAUAACGUAGCACUCAUAUACGAUGAUCAACAAUAAUAAAGAACGAUAACGACACUAAAUUUUUUACGUGGAAAACUGUUCUCAAUAAGGGGAAAAAACCACGACCCUCAAAGAAGCAUCUGAUAUCAUUAUAGUAAGAAAUUUCACUUUUUGUAGGCCCGAGUAAAAUACUACAAAGACCACUGCAAUAUGCAAAAGAAAUAAUUUUCUUUUGAUAUUCCCACCUCAUUACAAUAUUGUUUACUCUUUAUUUUUUUCACAUGCUUUUUUAAUAGCUGUUUGUAAUGUCUUACUCUUUUUUUCUCUCUUUUU